rnacentral:snRNA from 14 species
CAGAAGAUUAGCAUGGUCCCUGAACAAGGAUGACACGCAAAUUUGUGAAGCGUUCCAUAUUUUU